rnacentral:rRNA from 1 species
AGGAUGACGCUGGCGGCGUGCCUAAUACAUGCAAGUCGAGCGAACAGACGAGGAGCUUGCUCCUCUGACGUUAGCGGCGGACGGGUGAGUAACACGUGGAUAACCUACCUAUAAGACUGGGAUAACUUCGGGAAACCGGAGCUAAUACCGGAUAAUAUAUUGAACCGCAUGGUUCAAUAGUGAAAGACGGUUUUGCUGUCACUUAUAGAUGGAUCCGCGCCGCAUUAGCUAGUUGGUAAGGUAACGCUUACCAAGGCAACGAUGCGUAGCCGACCUGAGAGGGUGAUCGGCCACACUGGAACUGAGACACGGUCCAGACUCCUACGGGAGGCAGCAGUAGGGAAUCUUCCGCAAUGGGCGAAAGCCUGACGGAGCAACGCCGCGUGAGUGAUGAAGGUCUUCGGAUCGUAAAACUCUGUUAUUAGGGAAGAACAAAUGUGUAAGUAACUAUGCACGUCUUGACGGUACCUAAUCAGAAAGCCACGGCUAACUACGUGCCAGCAGCCGCGGUAAUACGUAGGUGGCAAGCGUUAUCCGGAAUUAUUGGGCGUAAAGCGCGCGUAGGCGGUUUUUUAAGUCUGAUGUGAAAGCCCACGGCUCAACCGUGGAGGGUCAUUGGAAACUGGAAAACUUGAGUGCAGAAGAGGAAAGUGGAAUUCCAUGUGUAGCGGUGAAAUGCGCAGAGAUAUGGAGGAACACCAGUGGCGAAGGCGACUUUUGGUCUGUAACUGACGCUGAUGUGCGAAAGCGUGGGGAUCAAACAGGAUUAGAUACCCUGGUAGUCCACGCCGUAAACGAUGAGUGCUAAGUGUUAGGGGGUUUCCGCCCCGCAGCUAACGCAUAACUCCGC